UACGUAGGUGGCAAGCGUUGUCCGGAUUUACUGGGCGUAAAGAGCGCGCAGGCGGUCGUUCAAGUCGCGUGUGAAAGCCCCCGGCUCAACUGGGGAGGGUCACGCGAUACUGAUCGACUCGAAGGCAGGAGAGGGUAGUGGAAUUCCCGGUGUAGUGGUGAAAUGCGUAGAUAUCUGGAGGAACACCGGUGGCGAAGGCGGCAUCCUGGACCAUGACUGACGCUGAGGAGCGAAAGCCAGGGGAGCAAACGGG
rnacentral:rRNA from 1 species